CUUGCGAGCAGCAGCCACAGCGCGAUUAACAUCUUCGAGAUCACCUUCAGCAACAUUUGCAAUGACUUCCCCAGUUCUUGGAUCCAAAGUUGGGAAUGUUUUUCCAGAUGCAGAAUCAACAAAUUGUCCAUUGAUCAGAAGCUUGGUGUGAUUAAUUUGGACAGGUGGAGUGAUUAUUUCCUCAACAGCUGCAGCUGUACUAAACCUGUUGAUGUGCCUUGCCACACCAUGGCUUCUUCCUAGAGAAGCAGAAACGGAAGGAAGGUUGAGAGAACGAGAGAGCAAAGAAGAAAUUCUGCGAGCUGCCAUGGUUAAGUUUACACAAGUUUGUUGAAUUGUUAGUAGUUGAAGAUAUAUUAGAGGUGUAGG
rnacentral:misc_RNA from 1 species